rnacentral:tRNA from 1 species
GGAGAGGUGCCGGAGCGGUCGAACGGGGCGGUCUCGAAAACCGUUGUCCUCCUUACCGGGGGACCGAGGGUUCGAAUCCCUCCCUCUCCGCCA